rnacentral:rRNA from 1 species
AGAGACAGCAGCCGCGCGGUAAUACGAGGGGAGCUAGCGUUGUUCGGAAUUACUGGGCGUAAAGCGCGCGUAGGCGGCUUUUUAAGUCAGAGGUGAAAGCCCGGGGCUCAACCCCGGAAUUGCCUUUGAAACUGGAAAGCUAGAAUCUUGGAGAGGUCAGUGGAAUUCCGAGUGUAGAGGUGAAAUUCGUAGAUAUUCGGAAGAACACCAGUGGCGAAGGCGACUGACUGGACAAGUAUUGACGCUGAGGUGCGAAAGCGUGGGGAGCAAACAGGAUUAGAUACCCCCGUAGUCCCUGUCUCUUAUACA